GAUAGAUAGAUAGAUAAUGUAGUUGGCAGGAUUAGAUAGAUAGAUAGAUAAUGUAGUUGGCAGGAUUAGAUAGAUAGAUAGAUAGAUAGAUAGAUAAUGUAGUUGGCAGGAUUAGAUAGAUAGAUAGAUAGAUAGAUAGAUAAUGUAGUUGGCAGGAUUAGAUAGAUAGAUAGAUAAUUUGGCAGGAUUAGAUAGAUAGAUAGAUAAUGUAGUUGGCAGGAUUAGAUAGAUAGAUAGAUAGAUAGAUAGAUAGAUAGAUAAUGUAGUUGGCAGGAUUAGAUAGAUAGAUAGAUACUGUAGUUGGCAGGAUUAGAUAGAUAGAUAGAUAGUGUAGUUGGCAGGAUUAGAUAGAUAGAUAGAUAAAUAGAUAAUGUAGUUGGCAGGAUUAGAUAGAUAGAUAGAUAGAUAGAUAGAUAGAUAGAUAGAUAGAUAGAUAGAUAGAUAGAUAGAUAGAUAAUGUAGUUGGCAGGAUUAGAUAGAUAGAUAGAUACUGUAGUUGGCAGGAUUAGAUAGAUAGAUAGAUAGAUAGAUAGAUAAUGUAGUUGGCAGGAUUAGAUAGAUAGAUAGAUAAUUUGGCAGGAUUAGAUAGAUAGAUAGAUAAUGUAGUUGGCAGGAUUAGAUAGAUAGAUAGAUAGAUAGAUAGAUAGAUAGAUAGAUAGAAAAUGUAGUUGGCAGGAUUAGAUAGAUAGAUAGAUAAUGUAGUUGGCAGGAUUAGAUAGAUAGAUAGAUAGAUAGAUAGAUAGAUAGAUAGAUAGAUAGAUAGAUAGAUAGAUAAUGUAGUUGGCAGGAUUAGAUAGAUAGAUAGAUACUGUAGUUGGCAGGAUUAGAUAGAUAGAUAGAUAGUGUAGUUGGCAGGAUUAGAUAGAUAGAUAGAUAAAUAGAUAAUGUAGUUGGCAGGAUUAGAUAGAUAGAUAGAUAGAUAGAUAGAUAGAUAGAUAAUGUAGUUGGCAGGAUUAGAUAGAUAGAUAGAUACUGUAGUUGGCAGGAUUAGAUAGAUAGAUAGAUAGUGUAGUUGGCAGGAUUAGAUAGAUAGAUAGAUAAAUAGAUAAUGUAGUUGGCAGGAUUAGAUAGAUAGAUAGAUAGAUAGAUAGAUAAUGUAGUUGGCAGGAAUAGAUAGAUAGAUAGAUAGAUAAUGUAGUAGGCAGGAUUAGAUAGAUAGAUAGAAUUAGGCGUAGUAGGCAGGAUUAGAUAGAUAGAUAGAUAAUGUAGUAGGCAGGAUUAGAUAGAUAGAUAGAUAGAUAGAUAGAUAGAAUUAGGCGUAGUAGGCAGGAUUAGAUAGAUAGAUAGACGCCCCUAACUUUCUUCUGUCACAGGACAUGCAGCAUUCCAUAAUAUUUCCCAAA